AAAUAAAUAGGCGGUGUCUGAGAUAAAAACAGGGGAUCCUGGGUGUUAAAGGACAAUCCACCUACAUUUGAGCCCUGUCUUAUUAAUGCGUGUGUAUGGUUGUUUACUCUAAUAUGGUAAGUGUCCGGGUAAAAUUUUUGGUUGUUUCUAAGGUUAACUUCAUCUUUGCUGGUUAGUUAGUUUGAUGUAGCUAUUGUAGUCAAUCAUACGUCUGUAGUACAGCCGCAAAAAUAAUUCAGAUUAACAUGCAGCUAAUGGCAGGGUCAAUCUGGGAUACAGUUGCAAUGUAAGCAAUAAUUUAAAGCUUGAACUACUAAAAAGUAUUUCAAACAAUUUAACGAAUAAGGAAAGAAAACUUGACUUUGAAGAAGGGCUUGUAAGUAAGGGUUUAAAAAUAAAAUGAUCCUGAAUAUAAUCAGAUGAGUACUAAUCGCCCGUCGCUCGCGAGGAAACUUGUGAAAAGUCGUAACAAGGUAGCGGUAACGGAAGUUGUUGCUAGGAUAUAGAGU
rnacentral:rRNA from 1 species